rnacentral:rRNA from 1 species
GACGAGCUCUCCAAACGUUAUUCGGUAUCACUGGGCUUAAAGAGUUCGUAGGCGGUCUGGUAGGUGAGGUGUGAAAUCCCCCGGCUCAACCGGGGAACUGCGCUUCAAACCGCCAGACUUGAGGGAGACAGAGGUGGGCGGAACAGAUGGUGGAGCGGUGAAAUGCGUUGAUAUCAUCUGGAACACCGGUGGCGAAAGCGGCCCACUGGGUCUCAUCUGACGCUGAGGAACGAAAGCUAGGGUAGCGAACGGG